CUACCCUUCAAGCUUUGCUUGGUAUUGGGCAUUAUUAUCUUUUAAGAGGUAAUAGGCCUUAAAUAUAGCCGGCGGCAAGCACUAGUCCCAAGCGUAGCAGUAAAACAUUUCGCUUUAGGAGUCUAGAGUAUUGUCUACCGCAUAGUAUCUUUUACUAUA
rnacentral:misc_RNA from 1 species